CAAACGGGUGAGUAAUAUAUAGGAAUCUACCUCGUGGUGAGGAAUAAGCGUUGGAAACGGUGUAUAAUACCACAUAAUACCGGUUUCGGGAAAGGAGAAAUCUGCCAUGAGAUGAGCCUAUAUCAGAUUAGCUAGUUGGUGGGGUAAAGGCCUACCAAGGCGAAGAUCUGUAGCUGAUCUGAGAGGGUGAUCAGCCACAUUGGGACUGCGACACGGCCCAAACUCC
rnacentral:rRNA from 1 species